GUGGUUACCUACUUAGAACAAACUCUCACAAGUUUCUUGACACUAACGUGUUAUAAUGUCAUAGAAUCGAAUGGCUGUUCUUUGAGAUCAGUUAAGGUGCACUUAAGCACCCCAAGCACACUCCUAGUUAAAUAAAAAUAAUAAUAAAUGCAUAAAAGCUCUCAAACAAUGUAAUGACACCAUUUGGGAGAUAUAUUCUAGUCACAAG
rnacentral:misc_RNA from 1 species